AUGAAGGUAGCUCGCGCGCCGUCGCCGGACACUGUCUGCGAGGGCGCCGGCUCGAACGAAAGGGAUAAGACUGCUGCCGAAAAAGGGUGCUCUAGGAAGAGAGGCCACGCAGCAAUAUCAGACAUCGUACACGAGGGCGACGGCUCGAACAAAAGGGGUGAGACGUCCACUGAAAAAGAGUGCUCAAGGAAGAGAGGCUGCGUGGCGUCACCAGACAUCGUCCAUGAGGACGCCGGCUCCAAUGAAAGGGAUGAGACAACCACCGAAAAAGGUUUAUCUAGGGUUAAAGAGCUGUGGCAGUGCUCAGAAUGGGUGAUGGAGCAGCAGCGUCAUGGAGCUCUCCUUCUCUGGUGUGGCCGCGCUCAGAACAGGGAAGAGAGCAGCGGCGGGCUGGCGAUGGCUGGCCUUCCUUACCUGUUUAGCGGUGGCACCAGCUCAGGUAUCCCAUGGGUAUCCCACAGGUAUUUGGACAUAUCUGAUGCGUACAAACGCCAUGCCAGUUUCCAGAAGUAUCCACGGUGCUCGAGGAAGAUAGGCCGCUUGACGUCGCCAGCCAUUGUCCACGAGGGUGGCGGCUCAAAUGAAAGGGAUGAGCCAACUGCCAAAAAAGUAAAUUCUGAGACUCAUUUGGAUAAGAAGACCAUCAAAGUCAUGACAUACAACGUAUGGUUUCGGGAGGAUUUGGAACUGACGAAAAGGAUGUAUGCUCUUGGAAAUCUUAUUCAGCACCACAACCCAGAUCUUAUAUGCUUCCAGGAGGUUACACCAAACAUAUAUAUGCUUCUCCAAAAAUCUGGCUGGUGGCAAGAAUACAAAUGCUCGCUGUCAGCUAGGAUGGCCAUGCAGAGACAAUAUUACUGCAUGCAGAUGAGCAAGUUGCCUGUGAAUUCUUUCGAAUGCAUCCCAUUUUCCAACUCAGUCAUGGAAAGGGAGCUGUGCGUGGCAGACAUCAACAUUGGAGGCGCUACCAAGUUGGUGUUGGCCACAAGCCACCUGGAGAGCCCCUGCGCGUGGAAUCAGAUGUACAGCAAGGAACGAGUAACUCAGGCGAAUGCAUCCAUGAGGAUAUUGGACAAGUUCUGCAACGUGAUAUUCUGCGGAGACAUGAACUGGGACGACAAAGGCGACGGGCCAUUCCCUCUCUCAGACGGCUGGGUCGAUGCCUGGGCCGAGCUCAAGCCAGGCGAGGACGGCUGGACGUACGACACGAGGGCCAACGGCAUGCUGGCAGGCAACCGCAAGCUGCAGAAGAGGCUGGACCGGUUCGUGUGCAAGCUGCCGGAUUUCGAGAUCGACACCAUCGAGAUGAUCGGGAAGGAGGCGAUACCUGGGAUAUCACACUACAAGGAGAAGACAGUCCGCAAGGUAGUCCAGAACAUUGAGUAUCCUGUGUUACCUAGUGACCACUUCGGGCUUGUUCUGAGCAUCACCCACGCUUCAUCAGGUUGA
rnacentral:rRNA from 1 species